rnacentral:rRNA from 1 species
AUGCAAGUAGAACGCUGAAGGAGGAGCUUGCUCUCUCUGGAUGAGUUGCGAACGGGUGAGUAACGCGUAGGUAACCUGCCUGGUAGCGGGGGAUAACUAUUGGAAACGAUAGCUAAUACCGCAUAACAGUAGAUGUUGCAUGACAUUUGCUUAAAAGGUGCAAUUGCAUCACUACCAGAUGGACCUGCGUUGUAUUAGCUAGUUGGUGGGGUAACGGCUCACCAAGGCGACGAUACAUAGCCGACCUGAGAGGGUGAUCGGCCACACCGGGACUGAGACACGGCCCAAACUCCUACGGGAGGCAGCAGUAGGGAAUCUUCGGCAAUGGACGGAAGUCUGACCGAGCAACGCCGCGUGAGUGAAGAAGGUUUUCGGAUCGUAAAGCUCUGUUGUAAGAGAAGAACGAGUGUGAGAGUGGAAAGUUCACACUGUGACGGUAUCUUACCAGAAAGGGACGGCUAACUACGUGCCAGCAGCCGCGGUAAUACGUAGGUCCCGAGCGUUGUCCGGAUUUAUUGGGCGUAAAGCGAGCGCAGGCGGUUAGAUAAGUCUGAAGUUAAAGGCUGUGGCUUAACCAUAGUACGCUUUGGAAACUGUUUAACUUGAGUGCAAGAGGGGAGAGUGGAAUUCCAUGUGUAGCGGUGAAAUGCGUAGAUAUAUGGAGGAACACCGGUGGCGAAAGCGGCUCUCUGGCUUGUAACUGACGCUGAGGCUCGAAAGCGUGGGGAGCAAACAGGAUUAGAUACCCUGGUAGUCCACGCCGUAAACGAUGAGUGCUAGGUGUUAGACCCUUUCCGGGGUUUAGUGCCGUAGCUAACGCAUUAAGCACUCCGCCUGGGGAGUACGACCGCAAGGUUGAAACUCAAAGGAAUUGACGGGGGCCCGCACAAGCGG